ensembl:lncRNA
AUUUGGCAAAUCUGGCAACUAUUUAUUGCCAGAGCUCGACAAGGAUGCAUUUAUUUGAGCAAAAAUACUACUACUACUACUACUACUACUACUACUACUACUACUGCUACUUCUCUUACUACUACUGCUGCUACUUCUCCUACUACAACUGCUACUACUACUGCAGCUACUACUCCUACUACUACUACUGUUGCUGUUCCUCCUCCUCCUACUACUUCUGCUACUACUACUGGUGCUACUUCUCCUACUACAACUGCUUCUACUACUGCAGCUACUCCUCCUCCUACUACUCCUACUGUUGUUGUUCCUCCUCAUCCUCCUACUACUGCUACUACUACUCCUACUACAACUACUGCUGCCACUUCUCCUCUUCCCACUACUACGGUUGUUGCUGUUCCUCCUACUACUAAUACUACUGCCACCACAACUUCUACUGCUACUUCUCCUCCUCCUACUACUACUGUUGCUGUUCCUCCUCUUCCUCCUACUACUGCUACUUCUACUAGAACUGUUACUACUACUGCAGCAGCUACUACUCCUACUACUACUGCUGCUACUUCUCCUACUACAACUGCUACUACUACUGCAGCUCCUCCUCCUCCUACUACUGCUACUACUACUACUCCUACUACAACUAUUACUGCUACUUCUCCUCCUACUACUACUUCAGUUGCUGUUCCUCCUCCUCCUACUACUACUACUUUUCCUAUUACAACUACUACUACUACUGCCGCUACUUCUCCUACUACGACUACUACUGCUACUUCUCCUCCUCCCACUACUUCUGUUGCUGUUCCUCCUACUCCUCCUCCUACUACUACUACUUUUCCUACUACAACUAUUACUACUACUGCUGCUACUUCUCUUACUACUACUGGUGCUACUUCUCCUACUACAACUGCUACUACUACUGCAGCUACUACUCCUGCUACUACUACUGUUGCUGUUCCUCCUCCUACUAUUACUGCUGAUACUUCUCCUACUACAACUGCUACUACUACUGCAGCUCCUCCUCCUCCUCCUACUACUACCACUGUUGCUGUUCCUCCUCAUCCUCCUACUACUGCUACUACUACUUCUACUACAACUACUGCUGCUACUUCUCUUCCCACUACUACUGUUGUUGCUGUUCCUCCUACUACUAAUACUACUGCGACAACUUCUAAUGCUACUUCUCCUCCUCCUACUACUACUGUUGCUGUUCCUCCUCAUCCUUCUACUGCUAUUUCUACUACAACUACUACUACUACUGCUGCUACUUCUCCUUCUACAACUGCUACUACUACUGCAGUUACUUCUCCUCCUCCUACUGCUACUACUACUCCUACUCCUACUACAACUACUACUGCUAAUUCUCCUCCUACUACUUCUGUUGCUGUUCCUCCUACUACUACUACUUUUCCUACUACAACUACUACUACUACUGCUGCUACUUCUCUUACUACUACUGCUGCUACUUCUACAACUGCUACUACUAUUACUGCAGCUCCUCCUCCUCCUACUACUGUUGCUGUUCCUCCUCCUCCUUCUCCUACUGCUACUACUACUCCUACUACUAUAACUACUACUACUGCUGCUACUUCUCCUACUACUACUACUACUGUUGCCGUUCCUCCUCCUACUACUACUGCUGCUACUUCUCCUACUACAACUGCUACUACUACUACUGCAGCUACUACUCCUACUACUACUUCUGCUAGAACUGUUACUACUACUGCAGCAGCUACAACUCCUACUACUACUGCUGCUACUACUACUGCUGCUGCUUCUCCUACUACAACAACUGCUACUACUACUGCAGCUACUCCUCCUCCUCCUACUACUACUACUGUUACUACUACUCUUACUACAACUACUGCUGCUACUUCUGUUGCUGUCCCUCCUACUCCUCCUCCUACUACUACUACUUUUCCUACUACAACUACUACUGCUGCCACUUCUCUUACUACAACUGCUGCUACUUCUCCUACUACAAUUGCUACUACUACUGCAGCUACUACUCCUACUACAACUACUGCUGCUACUACUACUAAUCCUCCUACUACUACUGUUGUUGCUGUUCCUCCUACCACUAAUACUACUGCCACCACAACUUCUACUGCUACUUCUCCUCCUCCUCCUACUACUACUGUUGCUGUUCCUCCUCCUCCAACUACUACUGCUACUUCUACUAGAACUGCUACUACUACUUCUCCUACUACAACUGCUACUACUACUGCAGCUCCUCCUCCUACUACUACUUCUACUACUAGUCCUACUACAACUACUACUGCUACUUCUCGUCCUACUACUACUUCUGUUGCUGUUCCUCCUACUCCUCCUCAUCCUACUAUUACUUUUCCUACUACAACUACUACUACUACUGCUGCUACUUCUCUUACUACUUCUGCUGCUACUACUUCUACUACCACUACUGCUGCUACCUCUCCUACUACUACUGCUGCAACAACUACAGCAACAAAAAAAGGUAUGUACUGUAAAAUACAAAUUAGUUUUUAUUAUUAUUGA